rnacentral:rRNA from 1 species
GUUACUGCUAUCGAGGUUCGACUAAGCCAUGCGAGUCGAAUGUAGCAAUACAUGGCGAACUGCUCAGUAACACGUGGACAACCUGCCCUUAGGUUGGGUAUAAACCCGGGAAACUGGGUAUAAUACCCGAUAGGUCUCGAUUGCUGGAAUGCAUCGAGAUUUAAAGCUCCGGCGCCUAAGGAUGGGUCUGCGGCCUAUCAGGUAGUAGUGGGUGUAGCGUACCUACUAGCCUACGACGGGUACGGGUUGUGAGAGCAAGAGCCCGGAGAUGGAUUCUGAGACACGAAUCCAGGCCCUACGGGGUGCAGCAGGCGCGAAAACUUUACAAUGCUGGCAACAGCGAUAAGGGAACCUCGAGCGCCAGGUUACAAAUCUGACUGUCGAGAUGCCUAAAAAGCAUUUCAUAGCAAGGGCCGGGCAAGACCGGUGCCAGCCGCCGCGGUAACACCGGCGGCUCGAGUGGUAACCGUUAUUAUUGGGUCUAAAGGGUCUGUAGCCGGCCGGAUAAGUCUCUUGAGAAAUCUGGCAGCUUAACUGUCAGGCUUUCAGGAGAUACUGUCUGGCUCGAGGCCGGGAGAGGUGAGAGGUACUUCAGGGGUAGGGGUGAAAUCUUGUAAUCCUUGAAGGACCACCAGUGGCGAAGGCGUCUCACCAGAACGGACCUGACGGCAAGGGACGAAAGCUAGGGGCACGAACCGGAUUAGAUACCCGGGUAGUCCUAGCCGUAAACGAUACUCGCUAGGUGUCGGCCACGGUGCGACCGUUGUCGGUGCCGUAGGGAAGCCGUGAAGCGAGCCACCUGGGGAAGUACGGCCGCAAGGCUGAAACUUAAAGGAAUUGGCGGGGGGAGCACCACAACCGGGUGGAGCUUGCGGUUUAAUUGGAUUCAACGCCCGGAAAUCUUACCGGGACCGACAGCAAUAUGAAGGCCAGGCUGAAGACUUUGCCGGAUUAGCUGAGAGGUGGUGCAUGGCCGUCGUCAGUUCGUACUGUGAAGCAUCCUGUUAAGUCAGG